rnacentral:rRNA from 1 species
UACGAGGGGGGCUAGUGUUGUUCGGAAUCACUAGGCGUAAAGGGAGCGUAGGCGGGAGCCUAAGUUGGGUGUUUAAUUCCGGGGCCCAACCCCGGGCGUGCACUCAAAACUGGGUUUCUUGAAUAGGGGAGAGGUCGGUGGAAUUGGAGGUGUAGCGGUGGAAUGCGUAGAGAUCUCCAAGAACACCCGUUGCGAAGGCGGCCGACUGGACCCAUAUUGACGCUGAGGCUCGAAAGCAUGGGGAGCAAACAGG